rnacentral:lncRNA from 1 species
GUGAGAGGUUUCAAAAUUCCAUGGAGUUUGUGAAUUGAAGAACUCAAACUUUCAGCCUGAUUGGACUUCCAGUUGGAUCAGACUUUUGUUGGAGUCAAUUUAUUCAGAGAUUUGGAUGCUGAAUAAUUUGCAGCUCAGCUACUGGAUCAGGGUAAUGGAAGCAUUCAGCAAGAGACAUCACUUUUCUAAAUAACUGUAACAUAUUAAUCAAAACUGUAGAAGAGUUGAUUACCAAGGUUUACCCAAACAUUGAACAUAAUUUUCAAGAUCAUGAUUGGCUUUGUGAAAGAGCCAUACUUGCACCAAAGAAUGAAACUGUCUAGGUUGUCAAUUGAAAAUUUAUGCAAUCAAUCAAUAUUGAGGGAAAAAAAUCAUUUCUCAAUUGAUACUGUUGUGAACUCCAAUGAGACUGUGAACUUUGGAUCCUCCUGGAAUGCCUUCUCACAAACUGACAUUGAAGAAAGGAGUUCCAAUCAUGUUUUUAAGAAAUCUGGAUCCUCCAAAACUAUGCAAUAGAUCAAGACUGAUAGGCAAAUGCAUCCAUAUCUUUUGGAAGCAACAAUCCUCACUGGAUGAGGAAAGUGAGAAAAUGUGUUUAUUCCAAGAAUUCCACUGAUUCCAACAGACACACCCUUUGAAUUCAAGAGACUUCAGUUUCCAGUAAAAGUUAGUUUUGCAAUGUAGGUCAGCUCUAUGUUGGUUAUUCCAGAUUUGGAAAUGGCAACAAUCUCUUCAUACUCACAUCAAAUGGUAAAAUCAAGAACGGUGUUAGUCCUGCUACUUUACAACGAUCUCCAAAUGUUACAGUGAAACAAAAUUCUCCAAAUGUGAAAAUCUGUGAUAUAAAUCUGAGACUAUAGGAUACAAGUAAAUGCUUUAUUAUUAUUUCGCUCUUUAGUUUUGGGCUGCAGGCUCAAUUAGCCCUUUGCAGGAACUAGCUUUUAAAAGUUUGUAUGGAAUGCAGCUUUUAAUUUUUAAAUAUAUCUUGCUCAUCACUUUGGGAGACACCCAAUGGCCUCAAUAAGUAUUGGCAGUUGGUGAGACACAAGGAAGGGCGACAGGGAACGUGUGGGGGUGCAUUUCAGUAAAGAGCUUAGUGCACCCGAGCAAAACUACUAUGUAACUUAUGAGCUUUUGGCGGUGAAGAGGAGCAUCGACUUUUUCCGUCCGUACCUGUACAGUUCGCACUUUACCAUCAGAACGCACUGUGCAGCACUCAAGUGGUUGAGGACACUGCAGAACCCGGAGGGAAAACGCUGGCUAGGGAAACUGGACCAACACGACUAUAAGGUGCAGCACCGUCCUGGGCGGGUACAUGGUGAUGCGGACAGUUUGAGUCGUCUUUGUGGGCCGGAUUGCAGGCAUUGUGCAGCAGGGGAAGUGCAAAGUACCAAGAGCAGACGUACUGCAGUGACUGGAUUUGUGUCAACUGAAGAGGUACAGAGGGAAGAUGCCGAAUUAUGGCCAGUGGUAGAGUGGCUGCAGCAGGAAGCAGCGAGACCAUCUUUGGAGGAGGUAUCCAGGUCCAGCCCUGAAACUAAAAGCUAUUGGGGCCAGUGGGACCUUCUUCGUCUGAACAACGGGCUGCUUGAGAGGCGCUGGGAGACACCUGAUGGCCUCAAUAAGUAUUGGCAGUUGGUGAUACCCAAGAAGAUGAGAUCUGAGCUGCUGGAAGAAGCUAACAACCAAACUUCCAGCUAUGUGAAACAUCUGAGGUACACCAACAAGUUGGAGAGGCUCUGAAGUUUUCAGGUGAGGUGAUGAAGCGUUGACAUGACACCAGGGCUACUGAGGUCGACUUUGAGGAUGAUGAGAUGUGGUCUCAACCCCCGGCAGAAGAGAAGGCAGUCUCUGAAGCUGCAGAGUCCUUGGGAGCGGCCUUACACGGCGAUGGAUCGCCUGUCCGAUGUGACGUACAAGAUUCGAGGAGGCAGGAGGUCUCUUCCGAAAAUUGUUCAUGCGAACCGUCUGGCCAGUUCAGCUGGAGCACGCCUUCAGAGGUUGGGCUCACCUGUUGAGAAGGUCGUUUGGAGAUACGACUGUAGUGUGCUUUUCGCGUUCGACGUCGGGGUGUCGCGCGCGUUUGCGACGAUGAAAAACCGCCACUUCCGUAGUUCCCUCGCUCACUCGAUGGAGAAGGGAUCGGGCCGUCGCCGAGCGGUGGUUCAUUAUCUGGUGUGAAGCGCGCGGUGCAUGUCGAGCGCCUUUGCGGGCGCCGGCGCAGCCGAUGCGCGACCAUUAGUCGAGAACAGUGUCAGUCGGGGAGUUUGACUGGGGCGGUACGUCUGUCAAACGGUAACGCAGGUGUCCCAAGGCGAGCUCAGCGUGGACGGAAACCACACGUCGAGCAAAAGGGCAAAAGCUCGCUCGAUCUCGAUUUUCAGUACGAAUACGGACCGCGAAAGCGUGGCCCAUCGAUCCU